GUGAGGAAUAUUGGUCAAUGGACGGAAGUCUGAACCAGCCAUGCCGCGUGCAGGAAUAAGGUCCUAUGGAUUGUAAACUGCUUUUAUUCGGGAAUAAACCUCUUUACGUGUAGGGAGCUGAAGGUACCGAAGGAAUAAGCACCGGCUAACUCCGUGCCAGCAGCCGCGGUAAUACGGAGGGUGCAAGCGUUAUCCGGAAUCAUUGGGUUGAAAGGGUUCGCAGGCGGGCUAUCAAGUCAGAGGUGAAAUCCCACAGCUUAAAUGUGGAACUGCCUUUGAAACUGAUGGUCUUGAAUUAAGUGGGCGUUGGCGGAAUAUGACAUGUAGCGGUGAAAUGCAUAGAUAUGUCAUGGAACACCGAAAGCGAAGGCAGCUAACGAUACUUAUAUUGACGCUCAUGGACGAAAGCGUGGGUAGCGAACAGGAUUAGAAACCCCAGUAGUCC
rnacentral:rRNA from 1 species